ACGGUUUGGGAAACUCGCAGCCUCCGCCCGCCGCAGCCGCCGGGGCCAACGACUUCCCCUCCCCGCCAGGGUGUGGGAUGUUUUAAAAGUAAAUGACAUGAUGAAUUAAGAAGCUUACAACAAUGCCUGGAACAUGGUGCAGAGACCGGGAAAUCCUAACCAAGUCCUCAGAGAACCUGAUUUGCUCUAAGAGGUGGCCCUGGAUUGUUCUCAUGGGUGAGGCCUUCCAGCCUGGGCAGCCCUUCCGGUGAAGGUCUGACUUCCCUGGUCACCAGCUUUAUUCGUUCUAUCUAGUGGAGUUUUGGUUCCCAGGGAAUAUACUUGCCCCUCCCUUCUAAUAUGAAGUAUCUACUGUAGUCCAGUGAUCUUUAUCCCAGUUUUGAAUUCACCUUGACCCCCACCCAAUGCCUUACU